rnacentral:rRNA from 1 species
AUUGAACGCUGGCGGCAGGCCUAACACAUGCAAGUCGAGCGGAUGACGGGAGCUUGCUCCUUGAUUCAGCGGCGGACGGGUGAGUACUGCCUAGGAAUCUGCCUGGUAGUGGGGGACAACGUUUCGAAAGGAACGCUAAUACCGCAUACGUCCUACGGGAGAAAGCAGGGGACUUUCGGGCCUUGCGCUAUAAUAUGAGCCUAGGUCGGAUUAGCUAGUUGGAGGGGUAAUGGCUCACCAAGGCGACGAUCCGUAACUGGUCUGAGAGGAUGAUCAGUCACACUGGAACUGAGACACGGUCCAGACUCCUACGGGAGGCAGCAGUGGGGAAUAUUGGACAAGGGGCGAAAGCCUGAUCCAGCCAUGCCGCGUGUGUGAAGAAGGUCUUCGGAUUGUAAAGCACUUUAAGUUGGGAGGAAGGGCAGUAAGCUAAUACCUUGCUGUUUUGACGUUACCGACAGAAUAAGCACCGGCUAACUCUGUGCCAGCCGCCGCAGUAAAAC